GAUGAACGCUGGCGGCGUGCCUAAUACAUGCAAGUCGAGCGAAUGGAUUAAGAGCUUGCUCUUAUGAAGUUAGCGGCGGACGGGUGAGUAACACGUGGGUAACCUGCCCAUAAGACUGGGAUAACUCCGGGAAACCGGGGCUAAUACCGGAUAACAUUUUGAACCGCAUGGUUCGAAAUUGAAAGGCGGCUUCGGCUGUCACUUAUGGAUGGACCCGCGUCGCAUUAGCUAGUUGGUGAGGUAACGGCUCACCAAGGAAACGAUGCGUAGCCGACCUGAGAGGGGGAUAGGCCACACUAGGACUGAGACACGGCCCAGACUCCUACGGGGGGCAGCAGUAGGGAAUCUUCCGCAAUGGACGAAAGUCUGACGGAGCAACGCCGCGUGAGUGAUGAAGGCUUUCGGGUCGUAAAACUCUGUUGUUAGGGAAGAACAAGUGCUAGUUGAAUAAGCUGACACCUUGACGGUACCUAACCAGAAAGCCACGGCUAACUACGUGCCAGCCGCCGCGGUAA
rnacentral:rRNA from 1 species